rnacentral:rRNA from 1 species
GAAUCUUGCGCAAUGGGCGAAAGCCUGACGCAGCCAUGCCGCGUGAAUGAUGACGGUCUUAGGCUUGUAAAAUUCUUUCACCGGGGACGAUAAUGACGGGACCCGGAGCAGUAGCCCCGGCUAACUUCGUGCCAGCAGCCGCGGUAAUACGAAGGGGGCUAGCGUUGCUCGGAAUUAAUGGGCGUAAAGGGCGCGUAGACGGAUUGUUAAGUCAGAGGUGAAAUCCCAGGGCUCAACCCUGGAACUGCAUUUGAUACUGGCGAUCUUGAGUAUGAGAGAGGUAUGUGGAACUCCGAGUGUAGAGGUGAAAUUCGUAGAUAUUCGGAAGAACACCAGUGGCGAAGGCGACAUACUGGCUCAUUACUGACGCUGAGGCGCGAAAGCGUGGGGAGCAAACAG